rnacentral:rRNA from 1 species
AACGAACGCUGGCGGCAUGCCUAACACAUGCAAGUCGAACGAGACCUUCGGGUCUAGUGGCGCACGGGUGCGUAACGCGUGGGAAUCUGCCCUUGGGUUCGGAAUAACAGUUGGAAACGACUGCUAAUACCGGAUGAUGUCUUCGGACCAAAGAUUUAUCGCCCAGGGAUGAGCCCGCGUAGGAUUAGCUUGUUGGUGAGGUAAAGGCUCACCAAGGCGACGAUCCUUAGCUGGUCUGAGAGGAUGAUCAGCCACACUGGGACUGAGACACGGCCCAGACUCCUACGGGAGGCAGCAGUGGGGAAUAUUGGACAAUGGGCGAAAGCCUGAUCCAGCAAUGCCGCGUGAGUGAUGAAGGCCUUAGGGUUGUAAAGCUCUUUUACCCGGGAUGAUAAUGACAGUACCGGGAGAAUAAGCCCCGGCUAACUCCGUGCCAGCCGCCGCCGUAAUAC